rnacentral:rRNA from 1 species
GAUGAACGCUGGCGGCGUGCCUAAUACAUGCAAGUCGAGCGAGAAACUCAUGACUGAUUCUUCGGAUGAAGGACUGAGCGGAAAGCGGCGGACGGGUGAGUAACGCGUGGGUAACCUGCCCCAUACAGAGGGAUAGCAGUUGGAAACGACUAUUAAUACCUCAUAUUCUGCUUUUAUCGCAUGAUAGAAGUAGGAAAGAUUUAUCGGUAUGGGAUGGACCCGCGUCUGAUUAGCUAGUUGGUGAGGUAACGGCUCACCAAGGCGACGAUCAGUAGCCGACCUUAGAGGGUGAUCGGCCACACUGGAACUGAGACACGGUCCAGACUCCUACGGGAGGCAGCAGUAGGGAAUAUUGGGCAAUGGGGGCAACCCUGACCCAGCAACGCCGCGUGAACGAAGAAGGUCUUCGGAUUGUAAAGUUCUUUUCUUAGGGAAGAAGAAAGUGACGGUACCUAAGGAAUAAGCACCGGCUAACUACGUGCCAGCAGCCGCGGUAAUACGUAGGGUGCAAGCGUUAUCCGGAAUCACUGGGCGUAAAGGGUGCGUAGGCGGCCUAACAAGUCAGGAGUGAAAGGCAUUGGCUUAACCAAUGUGAGCUUCUGAAACUGUUUAGCUUGAAUACAGGAUGGGCAAGUGGAAUUCCUAGUGUAGCGGUGAAAUGCGUAGAUAUUAGGAGGAACAUCAGUGGCGAAGCGACUUGCUGGACUGAGAUUGACGCUGAGGCACGAAAGCGUGGGGAGCGAACAGG